UCAAGGAUAUGAUCGGCCGUAGGUGUUA
rnacentral:sRNA from 1 species